rnacentral:rRNA from 1 species
CCCUUAGAUGUCCGGGGCUGCACGCGCGCUACACUGUAGAAAGCAGCGUGCUUUAAAACCUUUCCUGAAAAGGAUGGGUAACCCCAGCAAAAUUCUACGUGCUUGGGAUAGAGAUUUGCAAUUUUCUCUCUUGAACGAGGAAUUCCCAGUAAGUGCGAGUCAUCAGCUCGCGUUGAUUACGUCCCUGCCCUUUGUACACACCGCCCGUCGCACCUACCGAUUGGAUGGUCCGGUGAAGCCUCGGGAUUGUGGUUCUUGCCGCUUUAUUGUGGCGUGACCGCGAGAACUUGUCUAAACCUUAUCAUCUAGAGGAAGGUGAAGUCGUAACA